AUUGAACGCUGGCGGCAGGCCUAACACAAGCAAGUCGAACGCGUGGCGGACGGGUGAGUCAUGCCUGGGAAGCAGCCUGAUGGUGGUGGAUAAUUACUGUAAACCGUAGCCAAUACUGCAUGCUAUGGGCUGUGGCCAGAUGGGAUUUGCUAGAAGGUGGGGUAAAGGCUCCCCUAGGCGACGAUCCCUAGCUGGGCUGAGAGGAUGACCAGCCACACUGGAUCUGAGCCACGGUCCAGGCUCCUGCGGGAGGCAGCAGUGGGGAAUAUUGCACAAGGGGCGCACGCCUGAUUCGACCAAGCCGCGUGUGUUGAUGCGGCCUUCGGGUUGUAAAGUACUUUCGGCGGGGGGGCGUUACCAACAGAAUAAGCACCUGCUAGCUCCGUGCCAGCAGCCGCGGUAAUAC
rnacentral:rRNA from 1 species